UCCGAUGUCAUCCAAUGGUAGGAUGCGGGUCUCUGAAACCCGUCAUGUUCGUUCGAGUCGAGCCGCCGGAACCA
rnacentral:tRNA from 1 species